CUAUAAAAAAUGAGUAAAAUUGCGAGAAUUUAUUUGCGGGGAUUAUUUUAAUCUCUAUAAAAUUAUAUGAAAUGCGGAGGUUACAAAACUAUCACUAAAAUUUCUCCGCUAUCAAUUAUGGGGGUUUUAAACCCCCACUAUCAAUCGAAAAAAUAGUUCUUAUGCCAUACAAAAAUCAUUUUCCCUAGAUUGGAGAAGCCUACUACUGACGAUAUUUGUCCUUUUUGCUUUGAAAAUUUUAUUGUUACUUGUCGAGGUCCCUGCGGUCACUGGUACUGCGGUAUUUUGGGAAUGAAAUUGGGCAUAUAUGGUGUAGAUGAAUGUUCUUUGCUCUUUUCUUGAAUUUCUUUUCUACUAGAUGGGGCUAGUGGAUAGUGGUCGUUUUCCAUUAAAUUUUGACUUAGCAACUCGACUUGGAAAUUGGCAGUGGAGAAUGUGGAAGCACCACAUGAAAUUAUUCAAAUCAGGAGUUGCAGAGUUAAAAGUGGUUCACCGUCAGGAUCUAAAUAAGAAAAUCUUGAUUUCACUUAUUGUUGCUUCAACCCUUCUUGCUGGAAUUCUAUUAUUUUCACCUUGCUUUUGGAUAUACAGACUAAAAACGCUGAAGAAAUCUGCUGAACAAGGCCAUCAGAAAGCUUGUAACUUUGUUAUCAAGAAGUCACUAUUUUGUGAAGGAUGGUUGGACUUUCUGUUAUUUAAAUUGUUCAUUUUAUGUAUCAACACAUUGUUUAUUUUUUCUAAUUUUAUGGUGUAGAGCCUGUGAAGGGGCUUUCAUUGGGUCCUAUAAUGGCCAAGUUCCCUUUAUUAAAAGUUGUGGCUAGGAAAGGACUAGUUGAUGUCAUCGAGUACCAGUCGUUAGUAGCUGCAACUAUUAAUUUCAAUGAAAAGAAUGCUAGAGGAGAAGGUAGAGUAGGAUGUAUUUAUAAAGCUCAAUUCAACGACGACGUCCAUGUGGCGGGGAACAGGAUGCGGGGAACAGGUGUCUAGCGGUGUGAUAUUUUUUUGUGUUGUUUGUAGACUUGUAGACCCCAAAAUCUUCUCCUCAUCCAGAAUAACUACCACUAAACAAAAUGACCUGAAGGACCAGAACCAUAAGCUACCUCAACUUUUCUUUUGGAGACUAAUCUAUCCUAAGUUACUGAAGAAGGAAGCAAAGGAGGAGAAACCAUAAGAUAACCCAACUUAUCAAAGUAUGGGAAAAACCAUAAGCUAUCCCGGUUAGCUAUAUUGUUCUUUGUUGCUAAAAUUUUGACAUUCUUUUGUUUUUGAAUUUCUGGCUCUCUUAAUUAUCAUAUCUCGUGAUUUUGCUUACUAUUUCUCAAUUUAAGUAUUGCCUUGUGAUGUGCAGAAAUUUUGUCUUCAAGGAAGGUUUAUAUUUGGGCUUGAUGUGAGGUCGCUCUUUAUGACUAUAUUACUUAUAGUUGCCCCAGUUGUUGUGUUCUGCAUCUUUGUUGGGAGGAAACUUGUAGAUGACUUUGCUGGUCACUGGGGGUGGUCUAUCAUGGUCAUAGUUGUUGGUUUUACACUAUAUGUGAUAUGGAUUUUAGGACACACUUAUAAUAAGAUGUGAAUUGCAUUAAUAAUUAUGUCAAAAUAUAUAAAAUGGUCAGAACAUCCCGUACACAACUGUUACGAAGAUAAAUAAAGGUCAUAGCAUUCUUAGUGGGUUAAGCAAGAGGUUAGCUUGGAGUUUCUUAAUUUGCUGGAAUGAGGGUAUCUUCAGCUGGUUUUAAUCCUCAGCUAGAGGAAGGUUUGUUCUUUUUGUUGUUAUUAAGUACUUGUUUUGUGAACUUUGAUGUGAAGCAUUAUUUGAAGUCAUUAAUGAACAUGUGUGAUUUUCUUUCUAUGUUUAAAUAUUAUAGAAGCAGGGCAGAAAAAAUGCUUAAUUUUAGAGUUGUGGCAUGCGUGUGCAGGACCACUAGUUUCAAUUCCACCUGUAAGAAACAGAGUGCUGUACCUCAAGGUCAUAGUGAGCAGGUCUUAGUCCUGCUUCUAUUGAUAUCUGCUAGAGAUCCUGGUACUGUUCCUCGCAAUCCUCGUCCUCCAGAGCUAGAGAACUUUGAAGGAAGUAUUCAAGCUGGACCUGAUCAAACUCCAUCAAUGGAAUAAUUGUAAAAGUCAAAUAUUGUGAUAUCUGCAUGUUGUAUAGACCUCCAUGUUGUUCUCACUAUUUAAUUUGCAAUAACUGCGUGGAGCAGUUUGACCAUUACUGUCCCUAGGUCGGGCAAUGUAUUGGAUUGCCAAGUGAUGCGGUUAGUGGAUCCAUUUCGCCCAUGGAUGCAAGGAGACCACGUGAUGAUAGUGAUCCUAAUGACAAUCGUUGAUUUCGUUGCAAAUUGACUUGGAUAUUCAAUUAUGAUGUAAUUGUGUGGUUGGAGCGAAUCUUAGAAUAUUGAAGGUUUUGUGUUUAAAUUUGAUUUUGGACUUUGAAGAUACUAGUUAAUGUUGAAAAUUUGGUGUUUGAA